rnacentral:rRNA from 1 species
UACGUAGGGGGCAAGCGUUGUCCGGAUUUAUUGGGCGUAAAGCGCGCGUAGGCGGUCCGGUAAGUCUGCUGUGAAAGUCAGGGGCUCAACCCUCGGAUGCCGGUGGAUACUGUCGGGCUUGAGUGCGGAAGAGGCGAGUGGAAUUCCUGGUGUAGCGGUGAAAUGCGCAGAUAUCAGGAGGAACACCAAUUGCGAAGGCAGCUCGCUGGGACGUUACUGACGCUGAUGCGCGAAAGCGUGGGGAGCAAACAGG